rnacentral:rRNA from 1 species
CCUACGGGAGGCAGCAGUGAGGAAUAUUGGUCAAUGGACGAGAGUCUGAACCAGCCAAGUAGCGUGAAGGAUGACUGCCCUAUGGGUUGUAAACUUCUUUUAUAAGGGAAUAAAACGAGGCACGUGUGCCUUUUUGCAUGUACUUUAUGAAUAAGGAUCGGCUAACUCCGUGCCAGCAGCCGCGGUAAUACGGAGGAUCCGAGCGUUAUCCGGAUUUAUUGGGUUUAAAGGGAGCGUAGAUGGGUUGUUAAGUCAGUUGUGAAAGUUUGCGGCUCAACCGUAAAAUUGCAAUUGAUACUGGUAGUCUUGAGUACAGUUGAGGUAGGCGGAAUUCGUGGUGUAGCGGUGAAAUGCUUAGAUAUCACGAAGAACCCCGAUUGCGAAGGCAGCUUACUAAGCUGUGACUGACAUUGAUGCUCGAAAGUGUGGGUAUCAAACAGGAUUAGAUACCCUUGUAGUC